rnacentral:miRNA from 1 species
UGAGGUACUUCUUUUACGUGUA